rnacentral:lncRNA from 1 species
CAGUACCGAUUGGACCCCGCUUUAUUAUAUAAAGCUAGUAAAUAUCGUAUUUUCAUGUCAUAAACGAUCCAAAGGGGUACCAAUUAUUUGUAAAUAUAAAUAGCCCUUUCUACACCUUAUUUUCAACCGUAAAUCAUUUUCACCAGUUUCUCUGCACGAAUACCGAGAGAAACCGAAGUAUGUUCUUCGUGUUCUUCAUAAUCAAACGAAGAUUUGAAGGUGUUAUUGGAAUCCGAUGGAGGCGUAUGAAUAGUCAAAACGAAGCUAUCGACGUGUAGAUUAUAGUUUAAUCAUUCGUUUGUGUGCAGAUUCAACAGGUAAAUUACUAUUAAUUGUUGAAAAUUCGAGUUAUAUUGAUUUGAAAUAUGAAUUUUUGCAAACGUGAUUGUUUGAUUAUUUUGAUGAUACCAUGUUGUAGAGCGUGUUUUUCUCGUCGUUUUGGUAUAUUAUAUGUCGAAUUUGGAGUUCGGAAUCAUAUAGAAACAGUGGUUUGAUUUUGAGAAUUCAAGUGUUCUUGAGUGUUCUUGAGUUUUGCCGGAAAUCUUUAAAUUUCGGCCGGAUUUUCAUUCUGUUAAAUCUGGGAGAUGGUGGUAUAUAUGGAUGGAUAGAGGAGGAGAAGAGGAAUCGAUUCAUAUGUAUGUUAACAGUGGAGAAGGCCUGAGAAGCUCGCCGAGUUCUGGAAGAAAACCGCCGGCGGCGGGAUUUUCUUUGACUUUUCCGGCGAACUUCCACGGUUUCUGGCGAUUCGGAGUGCAUGUACAAGUUCCUGGCAGUGGUUAGGAUGUAUCUGGAGCUUUGGGUGGAGUUCUGGGCACUGAAAAUGGAUUCCGGCAUAAAUCCGGCGAGUUUGUCGGUGGCCGGCGUAAAAUUACAGUUAGGUACCUCAGCUUUUGAGAAUGAUGAAGCUGAGGUACUGUGGUUUCAAAGUUUGCAUUUCAGCCCCUGAAACUUCUGAAAGUUACACUUUAAACCCUGGACAAAACUUUCAAAAGUUUACAAAAUAAACCUUUUGAUUUAAUUUUCUAAAAUUGUUUUAUUUAAUUAUUUUAAAUUUCAAAAAUAGUUUUUAAUUAUUUCUUUAUUCAAAAAUAAAUCUAAAUUAGUUUGUUAAUUAAUUUUAAUUAGUAAUUAAUUAUUUUAAUUGGUCAAUUAAUUUAAAUAUUAAUUGAUUAAUUAAUUUAAUUAAUUAUUAAUUGAUUUUAAUUGAUUAAUUAAUUGGAUUUAAUUAAUCCUUUUUGAUUUAAAAAUUCUGAAAAAUAGUUUCGAGCUUUCAAAUAUUUUUCCAAAUUAUUUUCAAGGCUCGAUAAUUGUUUAUGAAUGAUUUCAAGUCCAAUUUCAAGUAUUUGGGACUUGAUUAUUUAUUCGAAAAGUGAUUCUUUUAUCGAUUUUAAUUCCGAAAAAUGUUUAAAAAUUCUGGAAAAUUCCCGAAAAAUCAUUUUUAACCCAAGGCUUGAUUUAAUAUCAAUUGGGAUGGGAAACCUUAUGUGUUGUGUGUUGUCUGCUAUUGGUUGGAUGUGUUAUGUGCCGAUAGGAGAGUGAGAAAACUGUUUUGAGCAUAACUUUUGAUCCGUAAGUCGGAAUCAAGUGAAACGAAAGAGAGACAGAAGCUUAUAACGUCUAUUUUAAUAUGAUGUGAUUAUAUGGCUGAGUCUAUAAGGUGAAUAAUUGUUGAUAAGUAUGCAUAAUGUGAUAAUAUGUGAUCUAAGUGCUACCAAGUGAUGAUAAUGUGAAGUACGUGUUAGUUUUGAUAUUGUGAAGUGAUAAAUGAUUCGUACGGUUGAUAUUCCAGUUUAAUGAGUUUUCAAGGUUUUAUAUUUAAACCCCGGGUUAUUGUGUUAUUGAUAAAUAAUUGUAUUUUCAGAACUGAUUUUCAUAUUUUGUUUUGAAAAUUCUAGAUGAUAAUUAUGUGAAUAUAUGUGGUAUGUGACUAAGUGUUACUUGUGGUAUUGUUCGUUUAAUUAUUUAUGGUGAUUUAUGAUUAUUAUAUAAUUUUGUGAAUUUUGUGUUAUCUAGUUUAUUGAGCUGAAUGCUCAUAUGUGUUCGUAUUCGCGAGAUUUCAAUUUCUAUAUGCUCAGGAUGAAAUAUAGUUUAUUUGGAUAUUUUCAUAUUGAUUUAUGGAAUGUUAGAUGAUUUUAUAAUCGAUUUACGGAUUUAAUUGCGUAUAUUUAUAUUUAUUUAUUAAUUAUUUGACUUCCGUAAAACCGUCCACUCGUAACGAGGUAGCAAAUUUUCUUUCCGGAAGUUUCAACAAAAUUGACCUUUAGCCUAAUUUGAAUAUUCCGGACACUUUUCGUGUUUUGACUUUUUCGAUCCGGAGUACGGUUUUCCCCGGAGUCGGUCCGGCGGAGUUUUUCGGGUAUUUUAAUUGUUGAUAAUUAUCCAGUUUGCCUCGAUAUACGUGAAAGCUAGAUAUUUUGAUUAUUAUAUUCAUCCUUAUCUUGUAAUAAUUGCAAUGGGACCCGCAUACUAAUGACUGAUUAAAAAGCCCCGUUUUGAUGAUUAUCUUGAAAACCAGUACCGAUUGGACCCCGCUUUAUUAUAUAAAGCUAGUAAAUAUCGUAUUUUCAUGUCAUAAACGAUCCAAAGGGGUACCAAUUAUUUGUAAAUAUAAAUAGCCCUUUCUACACCUUAUUUUCAACCGUAAAUCAUUUUCACCAGUUUCUCUGCACGAAUACCGAGAGAAACCGAAGUAUGUUCUUCGUGUUCUUCAUAAUCAAACGAAGAUUUGAAGGUGUUAUUGGAAUCCGAU